GUAUAUAUAAUUUAAAUAAAAUAUUAAAUUGUGACUUUAAUUAUGAGAUUUUG
rnacentral:tRNA from 1 species